AUAUCAUUUUUGACAAUGCUGUACAACUGUGGCCCUUCCCAUCUGUCUGCUCACCAAAGACAUGGAGAUCUGGGUUUCCCUUAGCACAGAGCAAAUCAGCCAAAGAGCCUGAGGCCUGGGUAGCCUGGGGAAGAGAAGCGGUCUUAAGGGGAAGAAUUUCGAUCAAGUAAUCCUGGAGUAUUGAGCCUGGGUUCCAUGGGAGUGCUACCAAGUCCAACAACAAGAAAGAAAAAAGAAUGUGGAAGGAAGUAAGGAUAAUCAAAGAUAAAGAAUUUAAAUUUUAACGAGAUAAAAUUCCUGUGUAACAAUAAAGCAAGAACAAAAACUCUAAAAGAACAUAGAUGGAUUAUUCCUACAUUGCAUAGGAAAAUUAUUUAUACAGACUUUCUGGCCCAUGGACCUCAGUAAGGCCCAGCAGUGCUGGAUGAAACAUCUACUAGGUACAAGACCAUACUUUUGGCUACCUUCUCCUGCCACAGAUACUCUAUCCCAUUUGCUGUCAUCCAACGACUAACACCGUUUUCACUUCAGAACGUCAAGCCUUUUCUGUUCUCUUCAUGGCCUCCUCCCAUUAAAGCUGAAAGUAUCUGCUAUCAGUCAUUU
rnacentral:lncRNA from 1 species